UACGGAGGGUGCAAGCGUUGUCCGGAUUUAUUGGGUUUAAAGGGUGCGUAGGCGGCCCGUUAAGUCAGCGGUGAAAUCCCAGGGCUCAACCCUGGAACUGCCGUUGAUACUGGCGGGCUUGAGUUCGGUCGAGGCAGGCGGAACUGGUGGUGUAGCGGUGAAAUGCAUAGAUACCACCAAGAACCCCGAUUGCGUAGGCAGCUCGCUAGGCCGAAACUGACGCUGAGGCACGAAAGCGUGGGGAGCGAACAGG
rnacentral:rRNA from 1 species